rnacentral:snoRNA from 1 species
UUAAGUGAUGAUAACCAUAUUUCUAUCGACUAGCUUCAUUGCGAUGUUGUCGUUCAGUUAACCAUCUUUCGGGGCUGAAA